CAGAGGGGUGCAAGCGUUAAUCGGAUUUACUGGGCGUAAAGCGCGCGUAGGUGGCCAAUUAAGUCAAAAUGUGAAAUCCCCGAGCUUAACUUGGGAAUUGCAUUCGAUACUGGUUGGCUAGAGUAUGGGAGAGGAUGGUAGAAUUCCAGGUGUAGCGGUGAAAUGCGUAGAGAUCUGGAGGAAUACCGAUGGCGAAGGCAGCCAUCUGGCCUAAUACUGACACUGAGGUGCGAAAGCAUGGGAGCAAACAGGAUU
rnacentral:rRNA from 1 species